rnacentral:rRNA from 1 species
GAUGAACGCUGGCGGCGUGCCUAAUACAUGCAAGUCGAACGCUGGAACUCUAGCUUGCUCGCUUGAAGGAGUGGCGAACGGGUGAGUAAUACAUAAGCAACCUACCCACGAAGACUGGGAUAAUCUCUGGAAACGGGGACUAAUACCGGAUAGGUAAUCGGAAGGCAUCUUCUGAUUAUUAAAGGUUAAAAACACUGGUGGAUGGGCUUAUGGCGCAUUAGUUAGUUGGUGAGGUAACGGCCCACCAAGACGAUGAUGCGUAGCCGGCCUGAGAGGGUGAACGGCCACAUUGGGACUGAGACACGGCCCAGACUCCUACGGGAGGCAGCAGUAGGGAAUUUUCGGCAAUGGGGGAAACCCUGACCGAGCAACGCCGCGUGAGUGAUGACGGCCUUCGGGUUGUAAAGCUCUGUUGUAAGGGAAGAACGGUAGAUAGAGAAUAUCUAAAUGACGGUACCUUACCAGAAAGCCACGGCUAACUACGUG